rnacentral:tRNA from 1 species
AAGGAAAUAGCUCAAUUGGUUAGAGUGCUGGUCUGUCACGCUAGAAGUCGCGGGUUCAAGUCCUGCUAUACCCA